UCAACGCCGCAGGCGUGGCAUACGGCUCAGUAACACGUCGUCAACAUGCCCAAAGGCACGUGGGUAACCUCGGGAAACUGAGGAUAAACCGCGAUAGGCCAAGGUUUCUGGAAUGAGCCAUGGCCGAAUUCUAUAUGGCCUUUGGAUUGGACUGCAGCCGAUCAGGCUGUUGGUGAGGUAAUGGCCCACCAAACCUGUAACCGGUACGGGCUUUGAGAGAAGUAGCCCGGAGAUGGGCACUGAGACAAGGGCCCAGGCCCUAUGGGGCGCAGCAGGCGCGAAACCUCUGCAAUAGGCGAAAGCCUGACAGGGUUACUCUGAGUGAUGCCCGCUAAGGGUAUCUUUUGGCACCUCUAAAAAUGGUGCAGAAUAAGGGGUGGGCAGGC
rnacentral:rRNA from 1 species